ACUCUCCGUUUUCUGACUGCAUCUCCAUUCUGUUCUCCGGCUUGAAUGCUGUCUAGAAGGCCUUGGUAUAGAUCUGCCCUUAUUUUCUUUUGAUGAUGCCACAUGUAAUCCAGUCUGGAGCUUUCAAUCUUGAUGUAUGUAUCUACAACAAACUGCUGGAAAAGCUGAUACGACCACACAUAAUGUUGUACCGCAUCAAAUCACAGAUAUACAUGAGCCUAAAAUAUUUCAAUUUAGUGAAGGUAACAAGGAGUGUCGUGAAAGAUCAGGCCGCAACAACAGAUCGGAUCUCACCACGAGGUUCGGUCUUCAUCAAAAGCCGUCCGCCAUGCAAUAUUGGGUUGAAUAUGCUUGGUCAUGUAUGGAAUUUAUAGCAGUAGUAUUCUUUCAUGGUUACCCACAAGCCGUUGACCGAAUCUAUGCAAAAAUUGCAACAUAAAAAGUUAGUUGCAUAAGUUUGUACUGUACCAUAUAUGAAAAUUGAAUUUUGAAUAUAAUAGUAUAUGAAUUUUUUA